rnacentral:sRNA from 1 species
UAUAUAAUUAAAGUGGUGUGUUAUUCUAGUUAUCAUUAUGAAUUGAGAGGACGGGGCUAAAAAUCCGUUGAAAGAGCAUAUCGAUGAAGUUCAUUAGGUGUAGCUUGUGACGCCCAGUCGUGGGCUUACCUAGUGAGUAAGGUUUAAGGGCAAGCUGUAAUGGCAUAUAGUUGAUUACCCUUUCACCAUGGAGGCAUGUAAUUUAUGCGAAAGCAAAAUAUACAUGUAUAACCUGCAAGGCUGCGAGAAUGAAAAGUCGUAGUACACAGUGUAGCUUUCCUUGAGUGGUAUUGGCGGAUAUUACAUUGUAAUUGAAAUCUUUACUGCAAAAGAGGAUAACCUUUUCAAGGAUGGUAUUUGUGAAAAACUCUAGAGCAUUCCUUAUGGAGACAUUUUGAAGAUUGAAGUGUGGACUAAGUGGCAAUCUAGACUUUUGAUUGGUGACAACAAAAAGUUAUUUUUAAAUGGAAAUGGCUAAGAUGGCGAUAUCUUAGUAGAUAAUUGGGAAAACCUUCUAGACCUAAGCCAUAAAAUUUAUUCGAAAUGUUACCACUUUCAUAUAUAAA